UGCAUGUCUAAGUAUAAGCAAUUAUACCGUGAAACUGCGAAUGGCUCAUUAAAUCAGUUAUCGUUUAUUUGAUAAUACCUUACUACUUGGAUAACCGUGGUAAUUCUAGAGCUAAUACAUGCUGAAAAUCCCGACUUCGGAAGGGAUGUGUUUAUUAGAUAAAAAACCAAUGCCCUUCGGGGCUUUUUGGUGAUUCAUGAUAACUUUACGGAUCGCAUAGCCUUGCGCUGGCGACGGUUCAUUCAAAUUUCUGCCCUAUCAACUUUCGAUGGUAAGGUAUUGGCUUACCAUGGUUUCAACGGGUAACGGGGAAUGGGGC
rnacentral:rRNA from 1 species